GAUGAACGCUAGCGGCAGGCUUAACACAUGCAAGUCGAGGGGUAACAUAAGUGCUUGCACUUGAUGACGACCGGCGCACGGGUGCGUAACGCGUAUAGAAUCUACCUUAUACUAGGGGAUAGCCUUUGGAAACGAAGAUUAAUACCCUAUAGUAAGUAUUUAUGGCAUCAUUUAUACUUUAAAGGUUACGGUAUAAGAUGACUAUGCGUCCUAUUAGUUUGUUGGUGAGGUAACGGCUCACCAAGACUUCGAUAGGUAGGGGCCCUGAGAGGGGGAUCCCCCACACUGGUACUGAGACACGGACCAGACUCCUACGGGAGGCAGCAGUGAGGAAUAUUGGACAAUGGAGGAAACUCUGAUCCAGCCAUGCCGCGUGCAGGAUGACGGCCCUAUGGGUUGUAAACUGCUUUUAUGUAGGAAGAAACACUCUCACGUGUGAGAGCUUGACGGUACUACAAGAAUAAGGACCGGCUAACUCCGUG
rnacentral:rRNA from 1 species